AAGCUGCACUUCAGUAAGUAUUUGAGUACAUGUACUCAAAUACUUACUGAAGUACAUUAAAGCUGCACUUCAGUAAGUAUUUGAGUACAUGUACUCAGUUACAAUCUGUCUGACCCCUCUGAACACCAUCGUUGACCUGACAGCAUCGUGGGUUACAGUCAGAUUCAGUGUUGGACGAUCCAGGAGCACAGAUCACUCAGGAGGAGGAUCUGAGCUUGUUGCAGCGACAGUGAAGGCUCCUCCCCCUCCUCAGAGGGAGGGGCUAUCAGAGGAGACUUGUUAUUGAGGAAGAGCUCAGAUAUCAGCUGAGCGUUAACACACACGGACACACGGACCAGAACAGCAGCUCCUGACACCGCGCAUCUGAAGGAUGGUGUGACUGAUCAUCAGCGCCUGUCGGUACGUGGCGAGGAAGAUCCGGGCUGCGGCGCGAGGAGAGGAGCAGCCGGAGAAGCCGAGCACCGCGGGAUGCAAGCAGGCUAAAUCUCGCAAGGGCGACAGGAUGAGCAGCGAACCCGCCCUGAUGACCCCGCCCACAGAGCAGGACGUCGACGUGCUGCCGAAGGAGAACUGCGGGUCCUGAAAGUAAGCCGAGAGCUGGAGGGCAGGGAGGUCCAAAAAGCAUCCCAAUCAGACGCCGUGCCAAAUCAGACGCUGACUCUGACCUCGACCUCUUCCUGCUUCCGGCUCUCGGCGCUCUUUCGGCUCCUCCUUCCUCACGUCUCGGAGCGUCAGCAGAGAGGAUGAAAGGCUGCUCACCAAUUCCCCGCUCGAGGACCUGAGCAGCCCUGAUGACCGUGGCGGUCUCUGCUGACGGCGCUCUCACGCCAACCGCGCUUCUUUCUGUUGUUGCUUUAAUAAAAACCGUUUUAAACCUGA